AUGAGUCACGAGGGCGACGGCGGCGGCGGCGGCGAGAUGGCCCUCCGCCCCGGCCCCCCGCAGGCGGCGGCGCCGCUGGAAGACGAGGACGUCCUGGGCGAGAUCCUCGUGCGCCUCCCCCCGCUGCCCUCCUCGCUCGUCCGCGCCGCCGCCGUCUCCAGGCACUGGGGGCGCCUCGCCGCGGACCGCGCCUUCCUCCGCCGCUUCCGCACCCACCACCGGAGGCCCCCCGUCCUCGGCGUCUUCGAGGAGCGCGACGGGGAGCUGUUGUUCACCCCGCUCCUCGACGCCCCCGACCGGAUCCCCCGCGAGCGCUUCUCCAUGCGGUUCUGGCACGUGCUCGGUUCCUGGACCUUGCUCGGGUACCGCCACGGCCGCGUCCUCAUGGUCAACCUGGAUCUGGCCCUGCUCCUCGUUUUCGCCCCUCUCGCCGGCGGCCGCCGAGGCCUCCGCGGCGUGGUGAUUCCUCCGGAUUUCGUCGACGGCGAGUACGCCGUCGCCAACGGAGCUGUGCUCUGCGCUGCCGGCGACGAGCAGGGCCACGUGCACGGAGACUGCCACUCGGGCCCCUUCAAGGUGGUUCUGGUGGCCACCAGAGUGGGACACCCGGUCCUAGCCCGGGUAUACUCCUCAGACACCGGUGAGUGGGGAGAUCUUGUCGUAAUGGCGGAACCAUGUGUUGUUAGCAGCUUCCCCUCCACCCUCGUCGGCAAUGCUCUUUACUGGUGGCUAAAAAAGUGUCAGCACGAGGAUGAUGGCAUACUCAAGUUCGAUUUGGAUAGCCAGACACUAUCUGUGAUCAAGAGGCCUAUUUUUAAUCACAUUCCCAGUUGCAGCAUCCGGAUCAUCAGGGGAGAGCAUGGCGGUGUUGGCCUCGCCGUAUGUUGGUACCCGAGGUUCCAAAUCUGGGAACGCAUGGUCAAUAGUCAUGGUACUGCCAUAUGGGUGCUGCGAAAGACGGCUCGCAUGCAUAGUAUGCUCCAGUAUGCUAUGCUGACUAUAGUAGGGUACUCUGAGGAUGGUGAUGCGCUUCUUCUAACAGUGUCCUUCGGUGGGGGUGUGGCCGCCUACAGCUUCAUGCUUCAACUUGAGUCAAUGGAGUGGACGAAUCUUAAUCAAAGUUUUUUGGAGUAUUCCUACCAUCCGUUCGCAUACUUCUAUACUGCAGGUACUGUCAGAGCGUCAAGUACCGCUCCAGCCAUUGAGCCACCACAGCAGCGAAGUACAAUUCCAGCCAUUGUGCCACCACAGCAGUGA
rnacentral:rRNA from 1 species